rnacentral:lncRNA from 10 species
GCAGGGGUGUGAUCUCAGCUCACUGUAAUCUUCAGCUCCUGGGUUUCAGCAAUUCUCCUGCCUCAGCCUUCCGAGUAGCUGGAAUUACAGGAGUUUGCCACCAUGGCUAAUUUUUGUAUUUUUAAUAGAGACAGGGUUUCGCCUUGUUGGCCAAGCUGGUCUCGAACUCCUAACCUCAAGUGAUCCACCUGCCUCAGCCUCCCAAAGUGCUGGGAUUACAGGCAUGAGCCACCACGCCCAGCCCCUUUCAGCUCUAUAUGGGAUACAAUAGGUGGAUAUCAAAUUUACAUACCUAGUGGGAACCAUGUGAAUGCUUAUUUUUGCAGGGUUUUAUAAAGCUAAAACAGACUCCUUUGUCGAAAUCUGCAGUUCAACAAAAGGAUAUCUCAGUGGAGCUUCUAAUUUCAAGAACAAGACUUUCAAUUCCUUUCAAUUUGCAUCUCUACUAUAAAGAUCUACUCUAGAGAAAACUAACACAAGGAGCUAAAUCUAAGCCCCAGACCCUGUCCAAUGAAAACAUAUGAUUUUCUGUAACUAUGCUUGAUAACCUAGAAGGAACAGAGUAAAACAUGGUGGGCUUCACUUAACUUGGGAAUUGGUAAAGCAGAGACAGUAGAACAAUAGGGGCGGGGGUCAAGGGGAUUCAGGAUGCUGGUCUGAGGCAACAACUGAAACAGACAAACUUGAAAAAACUUACUUUAUUUCAGUGACAAGUAUUUUAAUAAAAAUUAAGAGGCAUGGUUGGGUUCAUAAGCAGUGGUUUUCAAUAAACCUGAUUUCCUCCUUACAUAUAUAAAACAACUAAACUUGUCUUCUAUAGGUUUCCUCAAAGUCUCUUACACUAUUUUAGUUUCAUAUAAACCAGUCUUUAAGGUAAAUACCAAUGCAAAUCUGUUGACCAAAUAGCUGUUCUUUGGGUUACUGUUUAGGAUGCUGUUCUUCCUAGCUACAAACAAUCCUAUAUUUCAUUUUUGUCUGACCUGUUAACAAGUUUAUGAGUUAAAUGAGUUGGAUCAGGCAGUGAAUUGCUGUGUAAAAGGCAAAUGCCCUGUUCAUACACAGGUUUGCAUUUAUCAGACCUUAGUGUGGCUGGAAUGGAAAGUCAGCUGAGGGGUAGUAUGAGGUAACAGGUUAGUGUGUUUUCAGUGAUCUCUGAAGAGGCCAACACUGUAAAGUAGGAUGUAAAUAUGUUCUGAACCUUAACAGUAUCAGGAAGACAGUGGUCAAAGGAAUGAGCAGUUGUUAUAGUAUUUUUGCAUGAAAUUUAGGUAGUUUUUCCUUAUUCUACCAUUGAACUGGCACAUGAAAAUGCGUAUUUUCCUAGAUGUCUAAGGCCAGUCCAGUUUUAAUCAUUUAAAAUACAGUAUAUAAAUUGCUUUAAUUUUUACAACUUGCUUCUUUAAAAAUGGUAAAAAUAAGUAUAAUAUUAUCUCCUCAGUUUUUGCCUAUUUUGGAGUUUAAUAUGAAUUGUGAAAAGUACAACUAAAGGAAUACAAGAAUGCCAGUACAGUAUAUACUGUACAUUUUGUCUGAGAGACAAACACAAGCAGCUACUGUUCUGCCUUACCAAUGAAAGGGCAUUAUUUGAAAUUAAGUCCAAAUACUCUCCUUGUUUAGCUCAGGUACAACUACCAGGAGAGCUAAGCAUCACUUAUCACCUACAUUUGUUUUUUCCUGGUGAGAGCAUUUGCAAAUCACAAUGGCACUUGUAGAACCCCUAUGGAGAAAGGCAAUCUUCCAAAAAGCAAAUCCUCUCCUUGGGUAGAGUGUGGAAACCCUGGAGGAGACUAAAAUGCAGGACUCAAAGCUUAGAUCUCUCUGGGCUAAGCUUUUGAAAUACCUCUGCAUUUAACCUUUAACCAUAACACUUGACUUUAGCUGAAACUGAGGCAGAAUAUUCAACUGUUUACCUUCCACUGUUCACAUUCCAAAGGAAGGGUAUCCUUUGAAAAGGAAGGUCCCAAAGAUAAGCAAGCUUUCCCUCCCAAGAACCAUUUCUUUUUUUCUUUUUUCCUUUUUCUUUUAGAUGGGAGUCUCACUCUGUCACCCAGGCUGGAGUGUAGUGGCAUGAUCUAGGCUCAUUGCAAUCUCUGCCUCCCGGGUUCAAGUGAUUCUACUUCCUCAGACUCCCAAGUAGCUGGGAUUACAGGUGCCCGCCACCACACUUGGCUAAUUUUUUUUGUAUUUUUAGUAUAGACGGGGUUUUGCCAUGUUGGCCAGGCUGGUCUCGAACUCCUGACCUCAAGUGAUCUACCCGCCUUGGCCUCCCAAAGUGCUGGGAUUACAGGUAUGAGCCACUGCGUCUGGCCUAAGAACUGUUUCUUUUUACUAGUUUUUGGGGAUCUCCAAAAAUUUCCUGCCAAUUAAAUCUAGGUUAGUGAAUCCUAGGCCUUAAAAGCUUGUGACCAGACAAUUUGGUGGCUUUAAUCAUUAGUUUACUAAAGAAACAGAACUGGCUGGGCACGGUGGCUCAAGCCUGUAAUCCCAGCACUUUGGGAGGCCGAGGUGGGUGGAUCAUGAGGUCGGGAGAUCGAGACCAUCCUGGCCAACAUGGUGAAACCCUGUCUCUACUAAAAACACAAAAAUUAGCCAGGUGUGGUGGCGGGUGCCUGUAGUCCCAGCUAUUCGGGAGCCUGAGGCAGAAGAAUUGCUUGAACCAGGGAGUUGAAGGUUGCGGUGAGCCAAGAUCGCGCCACUGCACUCCAGCCUGGAGACAGAGCAAGACUCCAUCUCAAAAAGAAAAAAAAAAAAAAGAAACAGAACUAUUUUGUGAGCUAACAAAAUCAACACAGGCAGGCAUUCUCCUGUAGUGAGUGCUACUCACACUCCAAAAGGUCAGAUGUUUUGUGAUUAUGUCCUAGUAGUCAUGAGCAAAGAGAUGUCCUCCUAAAAUAACAAAAUAUUUUUCAUGAAUGAUAGAUGUUAGCUUACCUUGACCCUUUAAAUAGUUAAGAAGCACAAAGUAACUAUUUUCUUUUUUUUCCUUUUUUGAGACAGAAUCUCGCCCUGUUGCCCAGGCUGGAGUGCAGUGAUGCGAUCUUGGCUCACUGCAACCUCCAGCUCCUGGGUUCAAGCGAUGCUCAUGCCUCAGCCUCCUGAGUAGCUGGGACCACAGGCACGCACCCUCAUGCUGGCUAACUUUUUGCCAUUUUUAGUAGAGAUCAGGUUUCAUUAUGUUGCCAGGCUGGUCUCAAACUCCUGGCCUCAAGUGAUCCACCCACCUUGGCCUCCCAAAGUGCUGGGAUUACAGGCAUAAGACACUGAGCCCCAUGAAUAAAUUAAUUUCUAUUUAAUUCCUUUGUUGAGUUGUAUUUGAGUAGCUCUUUGCAAUGAAACUCAUAUUACUUGUUUUUCCUAAACUAGGUAGGAGUUCUAGGUUCUAAGUGCAGUAUAGACAGUUUUGUUUUGUCAUCACCAAAAUAAAAUAAAAAAGUGUUUUGUAUUUAUCAGUAAUAUGACUUCUUUAAAAUAAAGUUGUUGUGAGGUACUGAUAUACAAACAUAAAUGACUACCGGAAUUAGGGGACAUAUAGGUGUAUUUUUUCCUCCUUAAUAUACUACCUUUUCCAGGAGAAAUAGCCUACUUAUUAAGAUCACAUAGCUGGAAGCAGAAAUACUAUUGUGCUGGGUCUUAUUUUGAACCUGUUUUUAAAGAUUGGAGCUAAAUGAACAGCUCUGCUUCAUUAGGGGGAGAAUCCUGUUUUGUGUAAAACUCUUGGAAGGAGGUAUUCCACAGGAGUCCACUCCCUCUUUUUAAUCUGUCAUCUUCAAACCAUGCUAGAGAAUCUUUUUUGGAAAUGUUUCAGUAUUCUUCAUCCAAGUCCCUAUCUAUACCAGAUCCCAAAUGCCUCCCCACCAUGCUAGACACUUUUAAAACCAAACCUAACCUGAUAAAAACCAAACAAGCUGGGUGCAGUGGCUCAUGCCUGUAAUCCCAGCACUUUGGGAGGCCAAGGCAGGCGGAUCACCUGAGGUCGGGAGUUCGAGACCAGCCUGACCAACAUGCAGAAACCCCACCUCUAUUAAAAAUACAAAAUUAGCCGGACAUGGUGUCACAUGCCUGUAAUCCCAGCUACUCAGGAGGCUGAGGCAGGAGAACCACUUGAACCUGGGAGGCAGAGGUUGCAGUGGGCCAAGGUCGCACCAUUGCACUCCAGCCUUAGGACCAAGAGUGAAACUCCAUCUCAAAAACAAAAAAACAAAAACAAAACUCAAAAAUAAUCCAAACAAACAAAAAACUGGUCUGGGGAGAUUAUAAAGUCUCCUUAUAAGAAUCCACAAGAUGCUAGGAUAGCCAGAGCUUUGGGUGUUUCAGAAAUCUAAGUCGUUACACGCAUAUCCCAGGGCAGUCAGCAGGGCCUUUACACAUUUAAACUCCGAAGCUUAAUCAAAUUUCACACACAGGUGGAAAGCCCAUCUCUUCUCCACAGGUAUACUUCCUCCCCUCCAUUCCAAUCUUAAUUCCUACAUAAUCCACACUUAGAUUGACUGCUAGUACAAUUUCUAGCUGGAAUGUGGGGAGAUGAAUAAAACUACCCUAGGUUGGAUAGGCAGUAAGAUGUCCUAAAGACUAUAAAUAAGAAUGGAGUAUUUUGCUUUAUAAAUGUUAUCAGUAUCUUAGAGAAUGGAUAAACAGAUGCACUGAUCAGAAAAAGUCCAUUGCUACAAACACUAAAAGGAAUUUGGUCCAUGUGUGUCAGAGAACACAAAUACACAGUUACCUUUUCUAACCCAAGUUUCCUGUCUAUUUCAGUUAGAUCCUUUAAGAAAACUUUAAAUCAUUAUGGUUCAUUAAUGUGGAAUUGGACAUGAUCUCUGAUCUUGGGGCUGCAGGUACUUGACCAAACUAUUAAGCAAUCUGUAUCAAAGGUUUAUUUGGAAGCUUCUGAGUAUGAGGGUUCUUGCAUUAAAUGAGGAUUCAAGGGGGGAGGAAAAAAGUGUGCUUGUCAGUUUGGAAAGUCACAGGGAGUUUACCAUUCUAUAAUUAGAUUAGGAGGAAAAUGAGAACCCACUGGUAGAAGAAGAAGCAACAGUCUUCUAGGGUCUGGCAUCUGCAAGUAAAUGGAGAAAAAAAAGUUCUUAGUUUUUUUCAAUGAAAAAAGCACCAACUACAUCUGACAAUGGGCCACACAACUAUAACCCAAUUAAAUUAUCUUGUUCUGCUGGAGGAAUCUGCUGUUGUUGAUGGCAGAACACCAAGUACCUUCUGAUCUUUAACUCUUUACUACCAUUGAGCACAGAGAAACUUGUUAAUUGAAUUAAAAACAUUCUAUACAGAAAUCAAUGUGCACUUCUGUGUCAAGAGUUUUACAAGUGAGGAGAAUAUCAGGAAAUUGAUUCAUUCAUGCAAUUCUGGAUUAACUCCAAUUAUCUUGAUCUUUUUCUCACAUACUGUAUUUACUCAUUAGUUCAAAAAUAGUUUUUAAGCUUUUACAAUGUAAAUUAGGGGACAAGAAUUGGUAUGAUACUACCUGCUUCUGAGGUACUUAUCUAGUAAAAAGUGGAGUUGUUGAUAAAAACAUAAAUAGGAUAAAACACAUUAAAUGCUAAGUGAACAAACCCUUGUCAUGUAUGUAUAUUCAAAAACAUUUCACUCACACUUAAGUUCCUUAAGGGCAUAGUCAUAUCUUUUAUUUCUUUUGUAUCCUUCCAAAGAAACUAGAGAAUUCUACAACAACAGGCAUUGAAAAUAAUACUUAAUGGCCGGGUGUGGUGGCUCCUGCCUGUAAUCCUAGCUAUUUGGAGGCCAAGGCGGGUGGAACACCUGAGGUCAGGAGUUCGAGACUGGCCUGGCCAACAUGGUGAAACACCAUCUCUACUAAAAAUACAAAAAUUAGCCGGGCGUGGUGGCACACACCUGUAAUCCCAGCUAUUUGGGAGGCUGAGGUAGGAGAAUCGCUUGAACCCGGGAGGUGGAGGUUGCAGUGAGCCGAGAUUGCGCCACUGCACUCCAGCCUGUGUGACAGGAGCCAGACUCCAUCUCAAAAACAAAAAACAAACAAACAAACAAAAACCCAAAACUUCAUUUUUAUUAAGAGGAUAAUGUCUGUGGCUGCUUAAGGAUUCUUAUCUAAUCUAAUUAUUUUUCUGAUCCCUCAGGAGUUACACAGAAAAAUAAAUUUUUAGUGUGUAAGGAGUUUAACCAUAAAGAGUUAAGUCCCAAAGGAGAGAAGGGUCUGGUCUUAAGUUAUAGACACAGAAAUUUCUCCUAGAUUUUCAUCUUAGAGUAGCCAUUUUUACUAGACAGCUAUUCAUAUUGUUUGAUCGCCAGACACCUUGUAUAGCAUAUCAGAGAGGAAUUCAAAAUUCACCAUUUAUCCAGGUCUGUUCAAUGUAUGCUUCUCUUCCAACCCCUUUUUUUAGAGACAGGUCUCACUAUGUUGCCUAGGCUGGUCUUAAACUCCUGGGCUCAAGCAAUCCCCCUGUCUUGGUCUCCCAAAGUGUUGGGAUUACAGGUGUGAGCCACUGUGCCCAGCCCUCCCUGCUUUUGUUUAAGACACGAGGUCUCACUAUGUUGCUAAGGCUAGAGUACAGUGGCUAUUCACAGGCACAGUCAUGGUACACUUUAUCCUUGAUCUCCUGGGCUCAAGUGAUCCUCCUGUCUCAGCCUCUCAAGUAGCUGGGAUGAUAGGUGCAUACCACCAUACUCAAUGUAUGCUUUCCUGAUGUACCCCAGUGCUGGUGUAUCUCUUUUCCUUCUGGGACCAAAUCCCAUUUUCUGGCUUUCAAAUGUAUUUAACAAUUUGACGUCAGAAUCUACUAGGAAAAAUGGCUGGUACCUAGAAGCAACUGAUAAGUAUUAUUGUCUAUAGCUAAGGGAUGUUAACUUUUAGCAUCUCUUUUCUGCUUCUUACCAGAAGAAACAUCAGUUUUACUACAAAAUGAAACUAACUCACAGAUUUAUCUGUUUCACUGUUCAGAGAGAGUGAACAGACUGGAAUGCAAGAGGCCAAUUAUUCAUUAAUUCAAUGAAUAUUCACUGAGGGCCUACUAACUGCAAAACAGUUGGGAUAUAAUCCCAUUCUCAGCCUUUAUAACAUUCCCUUUGCCAGAAGCAAUGUGUCUGGGCAACCUCAGCCAAGACGACAUUUGAAGGAUCAAACUUGGCUCUGCCACAGGCACAUAGGGUAACCUAAAGGAAAGGCUUCAUCUGUGAAAAGUGAGAGAGAUUUUGGUCUCUUCACAUAGAUUUUGUGAGGUUCUGCUAAAUCAAAUACUCAGAUAAGAUCGACAGUGUAAAACUCUUAGAAACCCAAAGCUUUUAUUUUUUAAAUUUUAUUUUAUUUUUGAGACAUAAUCUUACUCUGUGGCCCAGACUGGAGUGCAGUGGCAUGAUCUCGGCUCACUGCAACCUCUGCCUCCCAGUUCAGGCGAUUCUCCUGCCUCAGCCUCCCGAGUUGCUGGGAUUACAGGCGUGCACCACCACGCCCGGCUAAUUUUUGAAUUUUUAGUAGAGACAGGGUUUCACCAUGUUGGCCAGGCUGGUCUCAAACUCCUGACCUCAAAUGGUCUGCCCGCCUUGGUCUCCCCGUGCUGGGAUUACAGGCGUGAGCCACUGCACCCGGCCAGAAACCCAAAACUUUUAAGUGCUCAUUAAAAAAAGUAUGAAUUUUUUGAUGAGUAUUAAACUGUACUGCACAGGGAAUGAAUUGCAGAGCAGUGAAGCACAGCUCAAUGAUUAAUCUCAGUCCAUUAAAAGAGGCAUGAUAGAUCUAGAAUGCAACUUUGAUAAAAAAAAAAAAGGCAAUGUGUACUAAUGUUAGAGAAAACAAAUUGGCAUGUUAACAGAAUUCUAAUUUAACCAGUAAAUGCCUAUUCAUUAGAGUGUAAAGCCAUAACAGAGGCUAUAUACUUAAAAAACACAUGCACACACAAAGCUUUAAUUUGGUACCAUAAUCUGAAAGAAAAUUGGACCCAAAUUGCUUUAUGUCCAGUUAAAUCUUGCUACCAUCUGAAGAGACAGUGAAAUAAAACUGAAACACUUACUUGAUGAGAUAGGUAUUCAGUUACUGUGCAUUUCCAUCUACAAGUAGAAAUAUUUCAAAAUAAAUACACCAUGUCAAUUGAAAUUCACUCCAUCCCCUAUUCUUACUAAACACAAAUGACUUAUUCCUGUGUAUACUGAAUUAUAAUAUAAAAGUAGAAGAAUUUAAUAUUAGUAAUCAGAUUUCAUUCAAGAGCAUGGGAAAAGAAAAUAGACCUUUACCUACCAAGCCUUUUGACAUAUAAUUUGGUGACUUCAUUUUUUGGGAAAUGCAAGUAUCC